rnacentral:rRNA from 1 species
UACGUAGGGCGCAAGCGUUAUCCGGAAUUAUUGGGCGUAAAGAGCUCGUAGGCGGUUUGUCGCGUCUGCCGUGAAAGUCCGGGGCUCAACUCCGGAUCUGCGGUGGGUACGGGCAGACUAGAGUGGUGUAGGGGAGACUGGAAUUCCUGGUGUAGCGGUGAAAUGCGCAGAUAUCAGGAGGAACACCGAUGGCGAAGGCAGGUCUCUGGGCCACUACUGACGCUGAGAAGCGAAAGCAUGGGGAGCGAACAGG